GUGGUGGUUCCUUCCUUCGGGUUGGUAUCGCCGCGUGGCGUUGGGACUGUAGCCGCAGUAGGUCAGCGCAGGGGUGACACGGAAUGGGAGCCGGCCGCGGAGGUGGUUUUCCGUGGUCAAGCACGCAGCCAGUCAUGUAGGCAAAUCCGCAUGGCGCGCAUGGCGAGGUGUGAUGAUGGGAGCCGUUAUGGCUCGAUAUCCGGUUGUCCAGGCCGUCGAGAAAAGCCUCGGCGUGAGGGCCAUGGCCGCCCGUACCCCAAACCGACACUGGUGGUCAGGUAGAGAAUACCAAGGCGAUCGAGCGAAUCCUGGUCUAGGAACUCGGCAAAUCACUCCCGUGCCUUCGGUAUAAGGGAGACCCGCUGGGGUGAAGGACCUUGUGUCCGGAGCUUUGGUGGGUGGCACAGACCAGGGGGUAGCGACUGUUUACCAAAAACACAGGUGCAUGCGAAGGCGAAAGCCGCUGUAUAUGCACUGACGCCUGCCCGGUGCCGGAAGGUUAAGAGGAUCCGUCAAUCCCUUCGGGGACGAAGCGGUGAAUUCAAGCCCCGGUAAACGGCGGUGGUAACAAUAACCAUCCUAAGGUAGCGAAAUUCCUUGUCGGGUAAGUUCCGACCUGCACGAAUGGCGUAACGACUUCCCCACUGUCUCGACCAGGAGCUCGGCGAAAUUGCAGUACGAGUAAAGAUGCUCGUUAAGCGCAGAAGGACGAAAAGACCCCGGGACCUUUACUAUACCUUGGUAUUGGCGUUAGGCGCGGAUUGUGUAGCAUAGGCGGGAGGCUUCGAAGCGGGUGCGCCAGCAUUCGUGGAGCCGCAAGGUGAAAUACCGCUCUGUUCUCGUUUGACGUCUAACCUCGACAAGUCAUCCUUGUCAGGGACAGUGCCUGGCGGGUAGUUCAACUGGGGCGGUUGCCUCCCAAAGAGUAACGGAGGCGCUCAAAGGUCCGCUCAGCCCGGUUGGCAAUCGGGUGUCGAGUGUAAUCGCACAAGCGGGCUUGACUGCGAGGACGACGGUCCGAGCAGGGACGAAAGUCGGAGAUAGUGAUCCGGUGCCGGCGCACGGGCGCGGCAUCGCUCAACGGAUAAAAGGUACCCCGGGGAUAACAGGCUGAUCAUUCCCAAGAGUCCAUAUCGACGGGAUGGUUUGGCACCUCGAUGUCGGCUCGUCGCAUCCUGGGGCUGGAGCAGGUCCCAAGGGUUCGGCUGUUCGCCGAUUAAAGCGGCACGCGAGCUGGGUUCAGAACGUCGUGAGACAGUUUGGUCUCUAUCCUCUGCGCUCGUUGGAAUCCUGAGGAGGCCUGCCCAUAGUACGAGAGGACCUGGGUGGACGAACCUCUGGUAUGCCGGUUGUCGCGCCAGCGGCACGGCCGGUUGGCUACGUUCGGGAGGGAUAACCGCUGAAAGCAUCUAAGCGGGAAGCCUGCUCCAAGAUUAGGAUUCCGUACGGUCUUGAACCGUUGUAGCCCGCAUGUUGAACACGUGUUUGAUAGGCCGGAGGUGGAAGCCCCGUGAGGGGUGGAGCCGACCGGUACUAACGGGCGACGGCGACAU
rnacentral:rRNA from 1 species